rnacentral:rRNA from 1 species
UACGAAGGGGGCUAGCGUUGCUCGGAAUCACUGGGCGUAAAGGGUGCGUAGGCGGGUCUUUAAGUCAGGGGUGAAAUCCUGGAGCUCAACUCCAGAACUGCCUUUGAUACUGGGGAUCUCGAGUCCGGGAGAGGUGAGUGGAACUCCGAGUGUAGAGGUGAAAUGCGUAGAUAUCAGGAGGAACACCUGUGGCGAAAGCGGCUCACUGGACCAUAACUGACGCUGAUGCACGAAAGCCAGGGGAGCGAACGGG